UACGGGGGGUGCAAGCGUUGCUCGGAAUCACUGGGCGUAAAGCGUCCGCAGGCGGCUUGAUAAGUCGGGUGUGAAAGCCCGGGGCUCAACCCCGGAACUGCAUUCGAAACUGUCUGGCUCGAGUACGGGAGAGGUUCGCGGAAUUCCUGGUGUAGAGGCGAAAUUCGUAGAUAUCAGGAGGAACACCGGUGGCGAAAGCGGCGAACUGGCCCGAUACUGACGCUCAUGGACGAAAGCGUGGGGAGCAAAC
rnacentral:rRNA from 1 species